rnacentral:rRNA from 1 species
GAUGAACGUUGGCGGCAUGGAUUAGGCAUGCAAGUCGAGCGAGAAGUGUAGCAAUACACGGAAAGCGGCGGAAGGGAGAGUAAUACGUGGGAAUCUGCCCUUAGACCUGGGAUAGCAGCGGGAAACUGCUGGUAAUACCAGAUAAUGUCUAUGGACCAAAGGUGUGAUUCCGUCUAGGGAUGAGCCCACGUCCUAUUAGCUAGUUGGUAGGGUAUGGCCUACCAAGGCGAUGAUGGGUAGCGGGUGUGAGAGCAUGACCCGCCUCACUGGGACUGAGACACUGCCCAGACACCUACGGGUGGCUGCGGUCGAGAAUCUUCGGCAAUGGGCGCGAGCCUGACCGAGCGAUGCCGCGUGCGGGAUGAAGGCCUUCGGGUUGUAAACCGCUGUCGAGGGGGAGCAACUUCCAUAGAGUUAUCUUUAUGGAUUGAGUGAUCCCUGGAGGAAGGACGGGCUAAGUUCGUGCCAGCCGCCGCGGUAAAAC